rnacentral:rRNA from 1 species
UGCUUCUUGGGUGACGAGCGGCGGACGGGUGAGUAAUGCAUAGGAAUCUGCCCGAUAGUGGGGGAUAACCUGGGGAAACCCAGGCUAAUACCGCAUACGUCCUACGGGAGAAAGUGGGGGAUCUUCGGACCUCACGCUAUCAGAUGAGCCUAGGUCGGAUUAGCUAGUAGGUGAGGUAAUGGCUCACCUAGGCAACGAUCCGUAACUGGUCUGAGAGGAUGAUCAGUCACACUGGAACUGAGACACGGUCCAGACUCCUACGGGAGGCAGCAGUGGGGAAUAUUGGACAAUGGGCGAAAGCCUGAUCCAGCCAUGCCGCGUGUGUGAAGAAGGUCUUCGGAUUGUAAAGCACUUUAAGUUGGGAGGAAGGGUUGUAGUUUAAUACGCUGCAAUCUUGACGUUACCAACAGAAUAAGCACCGGCUAACUCUGUGCCAGCAGCCGCGGUAAUACAGAGGGUGCAAGCGUUAAUCGGAAUUACUGGGCGUAAAGCGCGCGUAGGCGGCUUGAUAAGAUGGGUGUGAAAUCCCCGGGCUUAACCUGGGAACUGCAUCCAUAACUGUCUGGCUAGAGUACAGUAGAGGGUGGUGGAAUUUCCUGU